GGAGAACAUGUACACAACAUCGUUAUAUCUAGAAAUCUAUUUAUUGAUGCGUGCGGCAAACAUGAAAAGGGUUACAGCGAGAAGGACGUGGGACGUGAAAGGGGCACGUGCUUCUGUUAUCUAGAGUCGACCUUUGACGUGAGCGAUGCAAAACAAAAUCGCAAAGCACAUGCUGUCGGGACUGCCUGGUUUAGAACUGAUAGCGAGGAAAACAGUCGCUGAGGAGGAGGAGGAUUCACGGGGAGAGGAGCGUUAAUGAGGAGAGAGAGAGGAAGAGAGAGGAGUGUUAAUGAGGAGAGAGAGAGGAGUGUUAAUGAGGAGAGAAGAGGAGUUGUUAAUGAGGAGAGAGAGAGAAGAGAGAGAGAGGAGUGUUAAUGAGGAGAGAGAGAGAGGAUUGUUAAUGAGGAGAGAGAGAGGAGUGUUAAUGAGGAGAGAUAGAGAGGAGUGUUAAUGAGGAGAGAGAGGAGGAGUGUUAAUGAGGAGAGAGUAGAGAGGUAGUG
ensembl:lncRNA